rnacentral:tRNA from 1 species
GGGGAGUUGGCUCAGUGGUAGAGUGCUUGCCUUGCAUACAUGAGGCCCUGGGUUCGAUUCCUUAGCACCACG